rnacentral:misc_RNA from 1 species
UCAAACUUGGUCAUUUAGAGGAAGUAAAAGUCGUAACAAGGUUUCCGUAGGUGAACCUGCGGAAGGAUCAUUAACGAAUGAAUGUAGAGACUGGUUGUAGCUGGCCUUCAUUGGCAUGUGCACGCCUUUCUCUUUCAUCCACACACCCCAUGUGCACUUGUGAGACGGAGACUUGUUUUGGGUCUCUGUCUGUCAUUACACAAACUCAUAUUAAUUUAAUUGGAAUGUCAUUGAUGUAAACGCAUCUAUAUACUAAGUUUCAACAACGGAUCUCUUGGCUCUCGCAUCGAUGAAGAACGCAGC